UACGAAGGGGGCUAGCGUUGCUCGGAAUUACUGGGCGUAAAGGGCGCGUAGGCGGAUAGUUUAGUCAGAGGUAAAAGCCCAGGGCUCAACCUUGGAACUGCCUUUGAUACUGGCUAUCUUGAGUUCGGGAGAGGUGAGUGGAAUGCCGAGUGUAGAGGUGAAAUGCGCAGAUAUCAGGAAGAACACCAAUGGCGAAGGCAGCUCUCUGGGACGGUACUGACGCUGAGACGCGAAAGCGUGGGGAGCGAACAGG
rnacentral:rRNA from 1 species